rnacentral:rRNA from 1 species
UGAGGAAUAUUGGUCAAUGGGCGAGAGCCUGAACCAGCCAAGUCGCGUGAGGAAGACGGUCCUAUGGAUUGUAAACCUCUUUUGUCGGGGAGCAACGAAGGCACGUGUGCCUGAAGCGAGAUUACCCGAAGAAAAAGCAUCGGCUAACUCCGUGCC